rnacentral:rRNA from 1 species
GACGAACCGUGCGAACGUUGUUCGGAAUCACUGGGCUUAAAGGGCGCGUAGGCGGCUUGCCAAGUCAGGGGUGAAAUCUUUCGGCUCAACCGGAAAACGGCCCCUGAUACUGGCGGGCUUGAGGGAGGUAGGGGCGGAUGGAACUUCCGGUGGAGCGGUGAAAUGCGUAGAUAUCGGAAGGAACGCCGGUGGCGAAAGCGAUCCGCUGGACCUCCUCUGACGCUGAGGCGCGAAAGCCAGGGGGAGCAAAGCGGG